rnacentral:lncRNA from 1 species
CAGUCCCCCCUAGACGAGGUAUCUGCUAGCUCACUUCCUGUUGAAGUGAGAAUCCUUUUGAGUAUUCUGUCCAGGUCUGUCUUCCCUAAGACAGGAAGAUUUGAUUUUGUAAAUGAGAGGGACCUAGCUAUUAUGUCUUACAUUCUUCAGGACACCCCAGUCAACUUCCCCAAACUCAUAUAUCGGUAUAUGUGUGAGCCCCUAGAUAGACCUAGGCUCACCCUCCCAUACGGCAUGAUUUUUACUCUUCUCUUUAGGGAGUACGAGAUUCCCAUUCCUGAGAGGGAACCCUCUCGUGCAUUGCGAUGGACAGAUCGCUUGUGUACGGGGACCAUGCACAGGAUGGGGUUUCAGAAGAGAGAGGGGGUAUGGGUUAGGAAGUCUACCCUCACUGCUCAGACCACCAGACCUUCACCCAGUCCUGAGCCCGAUUCAGACUACCUAGACCUUCCAGACCAUCCAGACCUUCCAUCCACUCCU